CCUACGGGAGGCAGCAGUGAGGCAUAUUGGUCAAUGGACGAGAGUCUGAACCAGCCAAGUAGCGUGAAGGAUGACUGCCCUAUGGGUUGUAAACUUCUUUUAUAAGGGAAUAAAACGCAGCACGUGUGCCGUUUUGCAUGUACUUUAUGAAUAAGGAUCGGCUAACUCCGUGCCAGCAGCCGCGGUAAUACGGAGGAUCCGAGCGUUAUCCGGAUUUAUUGGGUUUAAAGGGAGCGUAGAUGGGUUGUUAAGUCAGUUGUGAAAGUUUGCGGCUCAACCGUAAAAUUGCAAUUGAUACUGGCAGUCUUGAGUACAGUUGAGGUAGGCGGAAUUCGUGGUGUAGCGGUGAAAUGCUUAGAUAUCACGAAGAACCCCGAUUGCGAAGGCAGCUUACUAGACUGUGACUGACACUGAUGCUCGAAAGUGUGGGUAUCAAACAGGAUUAGAUACCCGUGUAGUC
rnacentral:rRNA from 1 species